GGCUUUAUAGUCAAUAUUAUGAUAUUAGACUGCAAUUCUGAAGUAGUAGCUUACUAAAGCUU
rnacentral:tRNA from 1 species